rnacentral:rRNA from 1 species
AUUGAACGCUGGCGGAAUGCUUUACACAUGCAAGUCGAACGGUAACAGGUCUUCGGAUGCUGACGAGUGGCGAACGGGUGAGUAAUAUAUCGGAACGUGCCCAGUCGUGGGGGAUAACGUAGCGAAAGUUACGCUAAUACCGCAUACGAUCUAUGGAUGAAAGCGGGGGAUCGCAAGACCUCGCGCGAUUGGAGCGGCCGAUAUCAGAUUAGGUAGUUGGUGGGGUAAAGGCUCACCAAGCCAACGAUCUGUAGCUGGUCUGAGAGGACGACCAGCCACACUGGAACUGAGACACGGUCCAGACUCCUACGGGAGGCAGCAGUGGGGAAUUUUGGACAAUGGACGCAAGUCUAAUCCAGCCAUUCCGCGUGCAGGAUGAAGGCCCUCGGGUUGUAAACUGCUUUUGUACGGAACGAAAAGGUCUCUAUUAAUACUAGGGGCUCAUGACGGUACCGUAAGAAUAAGCACCGGCUAACUACGUGCCAGCCGCCGCAGUAACAC